rnacentral:tRNA from 1 species
GCAAUGGUGGUUCAGUGGUAGAAUUUGUGCCUUCCGUGUAGGAGCCCUGGGUUUGAUUCCCAGCCAACGCA